AGCCCCUGCCAGAUGGGGUGUACACACAUCCUGUCAGUCCAGCCACAUCAUCUUUAUUUUUACACAGAUGCAUGUGCUGAGCCCACUGAAUCAGCUGGCUCCAGUGAGAGUAGACGUUUGCCUUUCCCCUGCUGCUUCCCUGAGCGUGAGGGCUUGGAAGGCAGGAGUAACCAGAGUAGAAAAAUCACCUUAUGGAAAUGUCUGGGGUCUCCUCCUCCCUACAGCUGCCAGAGCAGCCCCACUAUUGCCUGUCUCUGACUGUUGUGUCAUUCAGGUUUCCUCUACAUCAGGCUCAAGCUGUUAGCAAUGACUUCUUACCUGUCCUAUGGCAACCUGUGCUGUCCUGCUACUGUCAGGCACUUGUGGAGCAGAGGGGUGAAGAGCCUGUCCUGAUCUUCAGCUGUCAGAAUUCCCUCCCCUCUUUAAAACAGCAUCCUCAGAUCUGCUUGCUCCAACUAUGAGAUCACAGGAUAACAAAAAGCUCUGGCUACUCAGGGCAAGAUCCAGUCAGGUGUUGAGAAUCUCCAAGGAUGAAGGUUCCACAACUCUGAGCAACCCGUUCCAGUCCUUGAUAACUUCAGAGUGAAAAGAAGCCCACAGAGGAGCCCAGCAGUCCAGAUGUACCUCACCAGGUCUGAGAAGAGAGGCAGGAUCACCAAAUGCCAGAACCCUCACUCAAAAUCAUUGCCAGAUGUGCAAUUGGUUGUGGCUGUUCUGUAGCCAGGCCAUGGAGCAGAUUAACUUCAAUGAAUUUUCUAAAUUUACCUUAUGCUAUAUCAGCAGAGCAUUUUGCUAUUUGGCCCUGAGUAAUCUCUUCUUAAUGACAAAGCAACCCAAUCAAGUCCAACCCCACUGCUGAGUCUGUGAGUUGUGGUACUGGCCUGGUUCUUGGGUAAUUUUCUUGUUCUGAUUUUUCAUCUUGGCUUUGUUCAACCAACAUAGAAAUCAUGAUGCCAAAUAUGGACAAACAACAUUUCCAAAGUCACGUUUUAAGGAUUUCUAACUUGGUUUUUGUGAUGUACCUGUCUUUGAAUUCUUAUGAAGGCCAGUGAAUUGAAAACAAUUGUUUCCAAUUUAUUUUUAAAUGUCCACAUCAUUCAUGAAAUACAUGAUGACAAAUAUUCUAUAGUCUUUUCGUGAGUGGGCUGGUAGCCUGUGUUAUUUAGAGACAUUUUUGAAUUGAUACUCUCAAUCAAUUCUUCAGCAGUUCUGCAAGGUUCAGGUUUUUUUGUUGGAUUAAUCAUUCUGUGAAAUCUGUCAAGUAGCCAUCACCCUGAUGAUUCUAUUUUUGUCACUUCUAUCCUUAUGUAGAGCUAGAUAUUUAUUAUGAUAGCAGACUGCAAUAUUCCAGUAGAAUUUCUGUGAGGUGUUAGUCAUUGUGGAAAGGCGUUUUUGCUAAAUACAUCCUGGGCUGUGUAUAAGGAAGUGUGACCAGCAGGUUGAGAGGAGAUUCUCCUCCUCUGCUCCACUCUGCUGAGACUCCACCUGCAGAGCUGCCUCCAGCUCUGGGCCCAGCACAAGAAGGAUGUGGAGCUGUGGAAGCAAUUCCAGAGGAGGCCAUGAAGAUGCUCAGAGGGCUGGAGCACCUCUGCUUGGGAGACAGGUUGGGAGAGCUGGGGGUGUUCAGUCUGAAGUAGAGAAGAUUCUGAGACCUUGGGACUCUUCCAGUCCCUAAAGUGGUUCAAGGAGAGCUGGAGAGGGACUUUGGUCAAGGGCCUGGAGGGACAGGAAAAGGGGGAAUGGCUUCCCACUGCCAGAGGGCUGGGCUAGAUGGGACAUUAAGAAAUUGUUCCCUGUGAAGGUGGUGAGGACCUGGCACAGGUUGCCCAGAGAAGCUGUGGCUGCCCUUGGAUCUCUGGAAGUAUCCAUGGUCAGGCUGGAUGGUGCUUGGAGCAGGCUGGUCUAGUGGAAGGUGUCCCUGCCCAUGGCUGUGGGUAGAAGUGGAUGGUCCAUAAGGGCCCUUCCAGCCCAAACCAUGCUGGGAUUCUGUAUCUCCAUUCAUUUUCUAUGAGUAGAAGAUGCUUUUUCUGCUUACAGAUUGCAGGGCAGAAAGAUCAUGUUCUGCCCACUUCCUAUUCUAAACCUGACCAGUGUAGGAAGGGAUUCUCUGUAGUAACUCUAUGUUUUAUUCCAUCAAACAGUGUUUAGUCUCCUUGUACCAAAUGUAAUAUACACCUUGUUUUAGAUACUCCUGAAAAGGAGACAAAUGCAGUGUGCAAAAUGCAUCUGUGGCUCAGCAGACAGGCCUGUGAGGUAUAAGAAUCCAGCAACGUGGAGACAACCACAGGAUCUGACCUCACUU